rnacentral:rRNA from 1 species
UACAGAGGUCCCAAGCGUUGUUCGGAUUCAUUGGGCGUAAAGGGUGCGUAGGCGGCGCGGUAAGUCGGGUGUGAAAUCUCGGGGCUUAACUCCGAAACUGCAUUCGAUACUGCCGUGCUUGAGGACUGGAGAGGAGACUGGAAUUUACGGUGUAGCGGUGAAAUGCGUAGAUAUCGUAAGGAAGACCAGUGGCGAAGGCGGGUCUCUGGACAGUUCCUGACGCUGAUGCGCGACAGCGUGGGGAGCAAACAGG